AUGUUACUGUGUGUGUGUGUUACUGUGUGUGUGUGUGUGUGUGUGUGUGUGUGUGUGUGUGUGUGUGUGUGUCUGUUACUGUGUGUUACUGUGUGUGUUUGUCUGUUACCUUGUGUUACUGUGUGUGUGUGUGUUACUCUGUGUGUUUGUCUGUUACCGUGUGUUACUGUGUGUGUGUGUGUGUGUUACUGUGUGUGUUUGUCUGUUACCUUGUGUUACUGUGUGUGUGUGUGUGUGUUACUGUGUGUUACUCUGUGUGUUUGUCUGUUACCGUGUGUUACUGUGUGUGUGUGUGUGUGUGUGUGUGUGUGUGUUACUGUGUGUGUUUGUCUGUUACCUUGUGUUACUGUGUGUGUGUGUUACUGUGUGUUACUCUGUGUGUUUGUCUGUUACCGUGUGUUACUGUGUGUGUGUGUGUGUUACUGUGUGUGUUUGUCUGUUACCUUGUGUUACUGUGUGUGUGUGUUACUGUGUGUGACUCUGUGUGUUUGUCUGUUACCGUGUGUUACUGUGUGUGUGUGUGUUACUGUGUGUGUUUGUCUGUUACCGUGUGUUACCGUGUGUGUGUGUGUUACUGUGUGUGUGUGUUACUGUGUGUGUGUGUGUGUUACUGUGUGUGUGUGUUACUGUGUGUGUGUGUGUUACUGUGUGUAUGUUACUGUGUGUGUGUGUUACUGUGUGUGUGUGUUACUGUGUGUUACUGUGUGUGUUUGUCUGUUACCUUGUGUUACUGUGUGUGUGUGUGUGUUACUCUGUGUGUUUGUCUGUUACCGUGUGUUACUGUGUGUGUGUGUGUUACUGUGUGUGUUUGUCUGUUACCGUGUGUUACCGUGUGUGUGUGUGUUACUGUGUGUGUGUGUGUUACUGUGUGUGUGUGUGUGUUACUGUGUGUGUGUGUUACUGUGUGUGUGUGUUACUGUGUGUGUGUGUGUUACUGUGUGUAUGUUACUGUGUGUGUGUGUUACUGUGUGUGUGUGUGUGUGUGUUACUGUGUGUUACUGUGUGUGUUUGUCUGUUACCUUGUGUUACUGUGUGUGUGUGUGUUACUCUGUGUGUUUGUCUGUUACCGUGUGUUACUGUGUGUGUGUGUGUUACUGUGUGUGUUUGUCUGUUACCUUGUGUUACUGUGUGUGUGUGUGUGUGUGUGUGUGUGUGUGUGUGUGUUACUGUGUGUUACUCUGUGUGUUUGUCUGUUACCGUGUGUUACUGUGUGUGUGUGUGUUACUGUGUGUGUUUGUCUGUUACCUUGUGUUACUGUGUGUGUGUGUGUGUUACUGUGUGUUACUCUGUGUGUUUGUCUGUUACCGUGUGUUACUGUGUGUGUGUGUGUGUGUGUUACUGUGUGUGUUUGUCUGUUACCUUGUGUUACUGUGUGUGUGUGUUACUGUGUGUGACUCUGUGUGUUUGUCUGUUACCGUGUGUUACUGUGUGUGUGUGUUACUGUGUGUGUUUGUCUGUUACCGUGUGUUACCGUGUGUGUGUGUGUUACUGUGUGUGUGUGUGUUACUGUGUGUGUGUGUGUUACUGUGUGUGUGUGUUACUGUGUGUGUGUGUGUUACUGUGUGUAUGUUACUGUGUGUGUGUGUGUUACUGUGUGUGUGUGUUACUGUGUGUUACUGUGUGUGUUUGUCUGUUACCUUGUGUUACUGUGUGUGUGUGUGUUACUCUGUGUGUUUGUCUGUUACCGUGUGUUACUGUGUGUGUGUGUUACUGUGUGUGUCUGUUACCUUGUACUGUGUGUGUUUGUACUGUGGUGUGUGUUACUGUGUGUGUUACUCUGUUACCUUGUGUUACUGUGUGUGUGUGUGUUACUGUGUGUGUGUGUUACUGUGUGUGUGUGUUACUCUGUUACCUUGUGUUACUGUGUGUGUGUGUGUGUGCGUGUUACUGUGUGUGUGUGUUACUCUGUUACCUUGUGUUACUGUGUGUGUGUGUGUGUGCGUGUUACUGUGUGUGUGUGUGUUACUGUGUGUGUGUGUUACUGUGUGUGUGUGUUACUCUGUUACCUUGUGUUACUGUGUGUGUGUGUGUGUGUGUGUGUGUGUGUGUGUGUGUGUGUGUGUGUGUGUGUGUCUGUUACGGUGUGUUACUGCGUGCGCAUGCGUGCGUGCACGUGCCUGGUGUGAAGCGGACGUCAGAGACGGCCUCGCGCCGGUGGUGGAAGCUCAUCAGAUCCUCCAGCGUGUCGGCGUUCACCACCAUCACGCCGCCGUCGCUCAGGCCGACCGCCAGGGCUUUGCCAUCGGGAGAGAAGGCACAGCAGCGUCCGCCUGCAAACACACAGCGUGA
ensembl:lncRNA